UGGGGAAUCUUGCGCAAUGCGCGAAAGCGUGACGCAGCAACGCCGCGUGGGGGAAGACGGCCUUCGGGUUGUAAACCCCUUUCAGUUGGGACGAAGCUUCGCCGGUGAAUAGCCGGCUGGAGUGACGGUACCUUCACAAGAAGCCCCGGCUAACUACGUGCCAGCAGCCGCGGUAAUACGUAGGGGGCUAGCGUUGUCCGGAAUCAUUGGGCGUAAAGCGCGUGUAGGCGGUCCGGUAAGUCCGCUGUGAAAGUCGGGGGCUCAACCCUCGAAAGCCGGUGGAUACUGUCGGGCUAGAGUACGGAAGAGGCGAGUGGAAUUCCUGGUGUAGCGGUGAAAUGCGCAGAUAUCAGGAGGAACACCAAUUGCGAAGGCAGCUCGCUGGGACGUUACUGACGCUGAGACGCGAAAGCGUGGGGAGCAAACAGG
rnacentral:rRNA from 1 species